rnacentral:rRNA from 1 species
CAUGCAGGCUGUUCUCAAAGUCGGACGUGAAAGCUCCUGGCUCAACUAGGAGAGGCCGUUCGAAACUAGAGGACUUGAGGAUGGUAGAGGUGAGUGGAAUUCCCGGUGUAGUGGUGAAAUGCGUAGAUAACGGGAGGAACACCAGUGGCGAAGGCGGCUCACUGGGCCAUUCCUGACGCUCAGAUGCGAAAGCUAGGGGAGAGAACG